ACGGUUAUAAAUCAACAUAUUGAUUUAUAAGCAUGGAAAUCCCCUGAGUGAAACAACAAAUUGCUGUGUGUAGUCUUUGCCCAUCUCCCACGAUGGGCUUUUUUUUAA
rnacentral:other from 2 species